GACGGAGGAGGCGAGCGUUAUCCGGAUUCACUGGGCGUAAAGCGCAUGUAGGCGGUUGGACAAGUCCGUUGUUAAAGCCCCUGGCUCAACUGGGGGAGGUCAAUGGAGACUGUGGGACUUGAGGGCAAUAGAGGCACGUGGAACUCCCGGUGUAGCGGUGGAAUGCGUAGAUAUUGGGAAGAACACCGGUGGCGAAGGCGGCUCUCUGGACCGAGACUGACGCUGAGGCGCGAAAGCGUGGGGAGCAAACAGG
rnacentral:rRNA from 1 species